rnacentral:lncRNA from 1 species
AUGGAAAAUAUGGAAUUAUCAGAUGCCAGUGUUUCUUCCUCAGAGCUACCUGAUUCAACAGUUGAUGAAUCCCAAAGCAGGAAACGCUUCAUAAGUUCAAGUUCUGAUGAGGAUGAUGACUGUGAUUUAGCUAAAAGAAAAUGUGAGGAAGACCGGGUGGUUUCCGAAUCAGCUAACAGGCUUUUGGAAACACUUUCAUCAGAACCAGCAAUACCAUCCUCUGAGCAGGGGGUUACAGAAAAUUCAUCAGGGGCAGCUAAAGAAGAAGAAGUGAAGUCACCAUCUAUCGCUGCUAUUUGGAAGCUAUGCUGCGUAGCAUCAAGCCAGCUACAAGAGACCCCUGAAAUGAGUGCUAUUCAACGCCCAGGCCAUGUGAUUAUGUCAAGCAUUCUUGGAUUGGAUGUCAAGACUGAAACAGGGAAUGUAGAGCAGAAGACGGUCAUGUUGGAGACCGCCAAAGCAACCGUUUACGGGAUAUUAGAUCACUGUUUAAACGAAAUAUUAUUUGAGGCGUGUCCGGGUUGUCAGAUUUUUGCAGGGAAUCAGAUGAGUCAUGAAUGUGUGUUAUGGAACAACAAAUUCCUAAGCAAAAAAUUGAAGGAUAUUUGUGGAAAUUUAUGCUUCAUAAAUACCCUUCAUAUUUUACUUUUGAUAGGUUACUGUCAAAACUCUCUGUAUAUGACCUCUGAAAUAUUGGACUACAUUAUGAAUUUGGUAACAUAUAUUGGCCAAACUGAUAAGGCUAUUAAAGUUCUAAAUGCUGGAUUGAAGAGUUGCAACCAGGAGAUUCUGCAGCAAGUCAAAACUGUGCUAAAAAACCGUCCAUACAAACAUUAUGUCAAAUUUUGGCCUAUUAUAACUAAUUUUAAGAAAGAGUAAAACUUGCAGCUAUUGAUGACUGUUUUUAAAAAUUCAAAAAAGUGUGUUACAUUGAAAUAAAAUAUAUGGUACUUUCAAUAAUGGGAUAAAAUAAAAUGGAUUUAAAAACAACAUAAUGCUCAAUGUGUUUUUUAUUUGAGGGCUUCCCUUUAGAAGUACAUUUAAUGAACACUCAUAAGUUUUCUAAUGUAUAUAUAUAUAUCUAACUAAAUAGAAAAGUGAAAAUGCGUGCCUGUUUAUUGAUCCUUCUGACAAAACAGGAAAUGCAUAUUUCAGUGGUCAUGCCAUGGACAGAUGCUGAUGACUUCUGAAAAACAGAGAUAAUAACCAUCUCUGUGCCUGGAUCUUUAAGUGUUACAUUCCUUUAGAAAUACGACCUUAUAACCCAACAUGCCCAAUUUACCAGAAGAUUAUUUUAAAAUGGGUAAAAUAAAAUGGAUUUAAAAACAACAUAAUGCUCAUUGUGUUUUUUAUUUGAGGGGCUUACCUUUAGAAGUACAUUUAAUGAACACUCAUAAGAUUUCUAAUGAUAUAUAUAUAUCUAACUAAAUAGAAAAGUGAAAAUAUGUGCCUGUUUAUUGAUCCUUCUGACAAUCAGGAUAUGCAUAUUUUCAGGGGCGUGGGGCCGGAUGCUUAAGACUUCUGAAAAACAGAGAUAAUAAGCAUCUCUGUGCCUGGAUCUUUAACUGAAUACACAAGGCGAAGUGUGGGCCCCUUUCUUUAACCAUGUAUUAAUAUAUAUAUAUUAAAAUGCAUCAUUGGAAACAUGGUUUAUUUUUACAACCAAAAAUAAAAUAAAUAAUAAAAUAAGGGUCCAACAGAACAACCCAAUGUCUAUAGGGAAGGGAGAGUGUUACAGUCCUUUAGAAAAUACAAGUCCUUAUAGCCCAUCAUGCCCCAUUUAGCAGAUUAUUUUAAAAUGGGGUAAAAUAAAAAUGGAUUUUAAAAAAAACAUAAUGCACAAUGUGCUUUUAUUUGAGGGUUUCCCUUUUGGAAAUACAUUUCAACUACUCUUUAAGGCGUAUAUUGCUAAUUUUCUUCAAUAUACCUUUCCCCAACCCCUUCCCUCAAAAUAAAAAAAAGUAUGAUACCCAUUUAUUUAAUAGAGAUUUAUAUAAAUGUUUCUGUACAACAUGUAUGCCUAACUGCAAAUAUGACCACACCUCAAAAGGAGGGUGUUUGUCUCAUCAGCCAAUGGGAAUUCUCAGUUUAAAAGCGGAUGGAAAGGCGGNNNNNNNNNNNNNNNNNNNNNNNNNNNNNNNNNNNNNNNNNNNNNNNNNNNNNNNNNNNNNNNNNNNNNNNNNNNNNNNNNNNNNNNNNNNNNNNNNNNNUCUAGACCCUUUCACCCUAAGAGGGAUCAGAAUAAUAGUUUUAUGUUUUUUACCUGCUCAGAGGAUGGUAUUGCUGGUUCUGAUGAAAGUGUUUCCAAAAGCCUGUUAGCUGAUUCGGAAACCACCCGGUCUUCCUCACAUUUUCUUUUAGCUAAAUCACAGUCAUCAUCCUCAUCAGAACUUGAACUUAUGAAGCGUUUCCUGCUUUGGGAUUCAUCAACUGUUGAAUCAGGUAGCUCUGAGGAAGAAACACUGGCAUCUGAUAUAUUCCAUAUUUUCCAUUCCUCUGAAAGCAGUCAAGGGAUGCACUAAAACUCACAUGGAGUAUUUAUUCCUAAAAGCUCCGCCCUAAUGGGCCCUCCCAGUAUCACAUGAUGACCUUAUGGGCCUAAAUCCAUUGGCUGUUGGUCACAGAGCACAGAGCUCACCACUAAGACCUAGCACACGGUCCUGGCUGCCCCAUUUCCUCAAGCAGAGGGGUCAGUCUAGGCAAGGGGCCUUUCAGCCCAUACGCAUCACCAUGAAUGCCUCAUUGAAACAUGUCUGUGCUUGCCCCACCACGUGGUAAGCUCCUGCAGUAGGAGUAGGGAACAUGCACCAUAGACAUACCCAUCACAUGGGCGGCUUAUGGUAGGGGUGGGCUGUGGGCUGUGGGAGGGCUUCACCUCAGGGGGAAGGGUCUCCCGGGAUUGCAUUUCCUGUUUUUAGGAGGAGGGAGUUCCUCUUUUAGGAGGUGGCACUUCCUGCUUCAAGGGGCAGGACUUCCUGCUUCAAGGGGGCGUGGCACCUGUCAAAAAUGAGUUUGACGAGAGGUGGCCCCUAUUACUACUGCUGUGUGCCAAUGUGCAGUUUUUGAAAAAUCUAAGUAGGUCAACUGCUGUCUUCUCAGUAUUUAUUUAUUGAUUGAGUUGAUUUGUACAGACUCCAGUGAUCAUAAAAAAGUAUGAUGUAUAUGCAGUGCUGCACAAAAAGAUUGUGACUAGUUUUGACUAUGUAGAGGUAUGUUUCUACUGCACGAUAAAAUGCACAAUAAAAAUAACAACAAAAAUGGAGUGCCAACUGAUUAUCAUGGAAAAUUGUGAAUGAAAUGUUACAAAAAUACAGUAGAGUCUCACUUAUCCAAGCUAAACGGGCCGACAGAAGCUUAGAUAAGCGAAUAUCUUGGAUAAUAAGGAAGGAUUAAGGAGAAGCCUAUUAAACAUCAAAUUAGGUUAUGAUUUUACAAAUUAAUCACCAAAACAUCAUGUUAUACAACAAAUUUGACAGAAAAAGUAGUUCAAUACACAGUAAUGUUAUGUUGUAAUUACAGUAGAGUCUCAUUUAUCCAACACUUGCUUAUCCAACGUUCUGGAUUAUCCAACACAUUUUUGUAGUCAAUGUUUUCAAUACAUUGUGAUAUUUUGGUGCUAAAUUUGUAAAUACAGUAAUUAUUACAUAGCAUUACUGUGUAUUGAACUACUUUUUCUGCCAGAUUUGUUGUAUAACAUGAUGUUUUGGUGCUUAAUUUGUAAAAUCAUAACCUAAUUUGAUGUUUAAUAGGCUUUUCCUUAAUCCCUCCUUAUUAUCCAACAUAUUCGCUUAUCCAACAUUCUGCUGGCCCGUUUAUGUUGGAUAAGUGAGACUCUACUGUACUGUAUUUACGAAUUUAGCACCAAAAUAUCAUGAUAUAUUAAAAACAUUGACUACAAAAAUGGCUUGGAUAAUCCAGAAGCUUGGAUAAGCGAGGCUUGGAUAAGUGAGACUCUACUGUAAUGAAAUUAAAUGAAUAACAAGAAUAUAUCAAGCAAAUAUAUAUAAAAUCAUAAGUGAUACCUGUUUUUCCCCAAACAUCUAAUCUGCUAGAAGUUAGCUGUCAAAAGCAAUAGAAAAAUGCCAAGCCCAAUUGUAUUUAUUGGGGCUUUUUUAGCAAAUGGCUUUGGUCAGCUGUCUACCAGAAAUGUUCCCUACUCUCCCACCCCAACCUUCCAAUGCAUCAGGAGCUUUCACUGGAGGGGCCUAAGCAUAGAGUCAGGCCUUUCGUGUAUAUUUUGGUGGUAAAUGGGGGGCUGGGAUAGAAACAUGGGGUGGCCACCUUGAUCCUUUGAGCUCUUGGAGCCGAAAGAGCCAGGAUCACAGUGGGGAUUGACCUUCGAGAUUGUGAAAGUAGUCCCAGGAGUCAAUUCCCACAGGGCACACAGCUGAAAAGAUUCAAACCUUACAUUAAGAUCCAAAUCUUUCCAGGUGUUUUAUUAAUCCAGAGCAAACUGAAAAAUCCCAGUUCACUCUGCAUUAAUUCAGGUUUACCUGAGGCAUCAUUUGGGAACCUCAAGUAAACCCGUGAUAGAUCCCACAUUUUAGGACUGUCUGGAAGGUCCUAGUUUCAGGCAUGAAUGAUGUUUUUUUGUUCCCUAGGAUGUGAACACCAGUUUUUGAUAGUGGUGGGACAAAUGAAAUAAAAUCAAACACCAGGGCUGUUUCAAAAUGCCCACCCUAAUUUGCCACCUGUUAAUGUGUAAUACAUCUUCAGAGAAUGAACUAAUUUUAGGAAGAAAAAUCCCCGGGUGUCUGAGCCAGGGGCAGAGGUGUCAGGGCUAAUGAUAAGAACAAAUAUGAAGGGUUGCUUUGCCAAGCAUUUGAGUCAGGGGCAAGUAGAGAGCCCAAAGAGCCAG